CCCCCCUCACGCGCCCUGCUGCGCGCUGGUGUUGGGGCUCCUCCGCCUGGCGGAGGGCCCCGAAAGCGAUUGGCGGGCCCGGCUGGCUGGCUCCGAGCGCAGUACCGAACGCAAGUUCCCCCUCGCCCGAGAGCUCCGCCGGCGCCCUGCCGUCAAAACGCGCAUGACGUGCAACUCUUUUACAAGG
rnacentral:misc_RNA from 1 species